rnacentral:rRNA from 1 species
AUGCAGUCGCACGGACCUUUCGGGGUGAGUGGCGGACGGGUGAGUAUCGCGUAGGGUUCUAUCCAUGGGUGGGGGAUAACAUCGGGAAACUGGUGCUAAUACCGCAUGAUACCUGAGGGUCAAAGGCGCAAGUCGCCUGUGGAGGAGCCUGCGUUCGAUUAGCUUGUUGGUGGGGUAAAGGCCUACCAAGGCGAUGAUCGAUAGCUGGUCUGAGAGGAUGAUCAGCCACACUGGGACUGAGACACGGCCCAGACUCCUACGGGAGGCAGCAGUGGGGAAUAUUGGACAAUGGGCGAAAGCCUGAUCCAGCAAUGCCGCGUGUGUGAAGAAGGUCUUCGGAUUGUAAAGCACUUUCGACGGGGACGAUGAUGACGGUACCCGUAGAAGAAGCCCCGGCUAACUUCGUGCCAGCAGCCGCGGUAAUACGAAGGGGGCUAGCGUUGCUCGGAAUGACUGGGCGUAAAGGGCGCGUAGGCGGUUUACACAGUCAGAUGUGAAAUUCCAGGGCUUAACCUUGGGGCUGCAUUUGAUACGUGUAGACUAGAGUGUGAGAGAGGGUUGUGGAAUUCCCAGUGUAGAGGUGAAAUUCGUAGAUAUUGGGAAGAACACCGGUGGCGAAGGCGGCAACCUGGCUCAUUACUGACGCUGAGGCGCGAAAGCGUGGGGAGCAAACAGGAUUAGAUACCC